GGGCGCUUAGCUCAGUUGGCUAGAGCACCGCCGUUACGUGGCGGGGGUCACUGGUUCGAGGCCACUAGCGCCCA
rnacentral:tRNA from 1 species